CCUACGGGAGGCAGCAGUGAGGAAUAUUGGUCAAUGGGCUUACGCCUGAACCAGCCAAGUAGCGUGAAGGAUGACUGCCCUACGGGUUGUAAACUUCUUUUAUAAAGGAAUAAAGUGAGGCACGUGUGCCUUUUUGUAUGUACUUUAUGAAUAAGGAUCGGCUAACUCCGUGCCAGCAGCCGCGGUAAUACGGAGGAUCCGAGCGUUAUCCGGAUUUAUUGGGUUUAAAGGGUGCGCAGGCGGAUUUUUAAGUCAGCGGUCAAAUCGUGGGGCUCAACCCCAUCCAGCCGUUGAAACUGGGGAUC
rnacentral:rRNA from 1 species